UCGAAUUGGCAACGCAUUGAAAAAAGUAUUUAUUUCUCGUAGUUGUUAGGAGAUUUUUGUAAUUUAUCAAAAAUGGGUAAUGAAUCAUCUUUACCUAUGGAAAUGUGCUCCAAUUUUGAUGCAGAUGAAAUAAAAAGAUUAGGGAAGCGAUUCCGGAAACUGGACUUGGACAAUUCAGGAUCCUUAAGUGUGGAAGAAUUCAUGUCUCUUCCAGAACUUCAUCAAAAUCCUUUAGUGCAAAGAGUGAUAGAAAUUUUUGAUACUGAUGGCAAUGGAGAAGUAGAUUUCAAAGAAUUCAUUGAAGGUGUCUCGCAGUUCAGUGUGAAAGGAGAUAAGGAAUCAAAAUUAAGGUUUGCUUUUCGUAUUUAUGAUAUUGAUAACGAUGGAUACAUUUCUAAUGGAGAAUUGUUCACUGUCUUGAAAAUGAUGGUUGGCAAUAAUUUGAAAGAUACACAGUUGCAGCAGAUUGUUGAUAAAACUAUUCAGUUUGCAGAUAAAGAUGCUGAUGGAAAGAUUUCAUUUGAAGAGUUUUGUAAUAUUGUUGGGAACACAGAUAUUCAUAAAAAGAUGGUUGUUGAUGUGUAGAUGCUUGCCAAGACUGCUGCAAUAUUUAUUUAUUGUGUUUGACUUCUUUAAUAUUACUGUACAUAAGAAUGGAAAUGGACAAUAAGGUACCCUUAUAGUACCAAAAAUUGCUUAUAGUACCAAAAAUUUGCAUUGUUGUAAUACUGAAUUGUAAUCAUUUAGGGGGUUUUAAACUUUUUAAUACCAUAACCAAAGACCAUGUUUGAGUUUCUUUUUAAGAUGAAAUAAUUUGACUCAGAAAGCCUAUUUCCAUUCCAUUUGAGUGUAUAACAAUAAUUACUCUAUCUUCCUGUUUGGAUUUGAAGCACUAAAUAUUUGCAAUGCAUUUCUUAUAAAUCAUUAACUUUCUAUUAAAACUUGCAUGUAAUGCUGCUGCAGCAUCAUCUUUCUUAUAAAGUGUGACAAUCAGUUAAUUCAUUAAAAGUCAAUGUAAUUAUGUUUUGUAAUGUUCAAACCAGAUAAAUAUCACUUAGGUUACCUGUAGUUUUUAUUCUUUGUUUUAAUUUUGUUUUACUGUACUUUAUUUUAGACCUAGGAGCAGUUGGAUGUUAUGUACAUGUAUUCUACAACAGUAAAUUUCAAAUCACGAUAGGGAAUUGCUAGCAUUAGCAAAUAUUUACCAAUAAAUUCAAUAUUGUAUCAGGUAUUAGGUCAUUAGUAUUCCAGUAAUUAUGUAUCUGAUGAUAAAUUUCAUGUGCAUAAGUUUUUAAGGAGUCUUUAUAUAUAUAAUAUACUGCUUUUAUAAUUUGUAAUAUAUAUGGAAAAAAAAUUUUCACUAGUAUCUGCAAAAAUAAAUGAAUAAAUAAUCCUAUAGAAAUGCCUGACAAAAUAUCUUUAAUUUCAGUUUUGCAUAAUAUGAAUUUAUCUUCUCGUUUUUAGGGGGGGGAGAAAUUUUAUCAUACUAUCACCUUUUUUUUUCCAAUUCCAAUCUUUAAAUUAAUCUAAACAAUAAGUCUAUUAAUGUUAUUGAACCAAAUGUUAAUGGAUGUGCAUUAAAGUCUGUGCUUUGCCUGUACAUUUUACAGCACUAAUUUCUAAAUAUUUAAAUUUUGAAAUAUUAUUUCAGUGAUUAUAUUGAAUGACAAAUUAUGCUAAUUCUUCCAUAACUCCUGUAUUUACAGUGGGCUGAAUAUUAACUAAUAAUAAUCUGGAAGUGGAUUAGUAUGUUCAAGAAAUUAUUUUUGGUUAUUAAGAUCUUAAUAUCUGAAUUCUGUGCACAUAGAAAUUUGGAAGAAUAAGGCCACCCCCCUUUUUAAUUUCUUUAAUAACUCUUAUUACAGAGUACCCUUAACUUUCCUGUUCAGAAACUAUGACCACUCAUCCACCCUCCGUUAUUCUUGCAAUGUAUUUUACUAUUGUGAUAUUUUAAUAAUAUAAAAUUAAUGGAACAAAAUGUUUACAGUUAUUUUAAAUAUCAUUUAGAAAAGAGAAAUAAAACAAACUAGUGAAUUGUUAAAUUUACUGCUUAGCAAUGAGGUCUAGGCAUAUACUAAAAAAUAAGUAUUCUUCAAAUAACAUUGCACUGCAGUAAAACACAAAGCAUAUAAUAGUUUAAAGCAACUUUUGUCAAAUUUUUUCAAGUACAGUCCUAUUUUAUAAAUUAGAAUGUUCUGUGAACCACCCUAAUCCCAUCCCCUUCAAAAGCAAUAUGUUCAGCAUAUAAUAUUACCUUUUAUUUUUAAAAUGCAGUUAAUUGAAAUUCAUUUAAUUUGUUAUUGAUAUUAAAUAAUUAAGGUGAAGGAAUAAAAUUUAUAUUUGUUUUUCAAAAUUUAAGGUUGUUAGAGUUAUCUAUAUCUUACUAAGUGAAAAUCAAAUGUUUGUUGGUACUCAUAUUAAUGAGAUGGAAGAAUCAGCCAAUUUUUGCACAGCAGUUCUAUCUUUGGAUGUGUGCUUGUAAGAAGCGACACAGUCACAGUACAUUAAAUCCUUCUUUUGUUGUUGUUGAGUGAUAAGUAUAUAGAUAAAAAUAUCUGAUAAUAAGUUUCAUGAAAUGUCAGUCUUGAAGAAGAAGUGAUAGGUGGUUGUAAUUUCUAAACUCUGAAAUUUUGAGAUAUACAGUUAAUUUGAAAUUUAUUUGUCUUUUAUAGAAAUUCAGAAGGAUCGCUAAAGCAGGCUUCAAGGGCUACUCGUAAUCUGCGGACCACAGUUUGAGAGAUUCUGAUUUACAAGAAAAUAUUGCUGUUGAUGGCAAAUAGAGAAUAGCCCAUUUCUUAGUGACUAUUUCUAGAUUCAUGAAUUGAUUUCAAAUGGAGUAAUCCACACUGGUGCUAUAUAGGAUAGAAGUACAAGCAUAAUUAAUAGUUAAUUGUGUCUUACUAAUAUUCGAGCUACUGCACUGUUUUGCAGAAAUUAUAUUUUAUUCUUUUUAUUGUACUUGAGACGUUCUAAUGCAUUUUCUAUUAUGUCAUAUAAAACAAUUUUACUCUGUCAAAUGAUUUAAUUUUUAAUGAAUAAUUAAGCAUUUUUUAUGUAAUACUGAUUUUGUAACCAUUUCCUUGAUGUAUUAUAAUCUUGCAUAGAUUUUUAUUUUACGCUCUUUAAUUUAAUGAUUAUUUUAAUCUUUAUAUUUUUUACAGCAUGAUAUGCAUCUCUUAGAUAAAUGUAAAAUCCCUCUCUCCUUUGAGAUAAUUAUAAUUUUUCAUUUUUAAUAUAAAAUUCAGAAUUUGCAGAUGGCAUAACAUUACCUUGGAUUUUUGAAUGAGUAUUCCGAUUGAUUUCAUAUGAAAUGCAUAUCAUAAAAGUGACUCAUUAUAAAAGAUAUACAGAUACAUGCGUAUAGUAAUUUUCUAUAAAGGGAAUUUUCAUAUUGUAUAUGUAUGUCAUCUUAAAAUAUAUUUUGUAUUAAAUUUUUAAUUAUAUAUUUAAAAUUAAUUAUUUUAUGAUACAAGUCUGCAGUAGCUUUUCAACUAUUUUGUGAAAUCUUCUUCUGUGUCUUACAGAAAUAUUUUUUGGUGUUGAAUUUUUAAGUGUAUAGCUAAAAUGUGAUGCUUGUUGACUGUGAAAACUUGACAUGUAUGUUUGGUGCAAUCUUUUCAGAAUAUCAAUCACUUCAAGCUAAAAUUUUUAUGAACUAUUUACACAGACUUUUCUGCAUUUUAUGGCAUUUAUGUACAGUAAUAUAUAAUUUUUCCUUUAAAUUAAACCUUUUGUUGAAGAAUAAUAAAUUGUUUAUGGUAAUAUAAAUUGAGCUGAUAUCCAUUGUGUUAAAAAUGCACAUGAAUGUUUUUAAAUGUGUGCACUAUUUUUUAAUCAUUUAUUGAUGUUUUAUAAAUAUGUAUGUUUCUAGAUGGGGUUGCAAAUGAUAUACUUUUAUAGUGCCCUGUCAGUUUAAAUGAAUUUCAUGGUAUGUUUUUGUUUACAGAGUUUAUUCUUUUUAUGUUAAAUUUUUAUUGAAGUAUUUUAUAUCAUGUACAUGUUUUUUUUUUUUUUUUUCCCUUUUGAGCUGUAAGUGCUAUUUACAUUUAUACAAAUUUUUGUAUCUAAGCUAUUCAGAUUCUCUCACCAUUCACUUCCUUUAUUUGUUUGUUAAUUCAUAAAAUUUAAUACAGUGCUUUACUAUUUCAUGGUUAUGAUAUUUUAAAAAAUUAACGCAGUGUUAAUAUUAAGUGCAAAAUAUUCCAUUGUAAAACAGAAGUAGUUAAAGAAGCACUUGAUCUUUGUUAUUGGAGUGUUUAUCUGUUUACAUUCCCUCAGUCAUAAAUCCUUUCAUAUUUUGUUAUUUUUUAUCUUUCAAAUAAAUGUCGUUUGUUUUGAAUGUUAUCAGAAUUGGAUUUUAUUUUUGUUAAGUAAUUGUUAUUUAAAAAUAUAAUAAAUUUGGAAUUUAGCAUGUUUAUUAAACAUGAUCCUUAAAUUCCUUGUAGUGUCUGUA